rnacentral:lncRNA from 1 species
AGAAAUCCUGUGGAGCCUUCCACUGUUGGAAGAGGAAUAUGACUUGAGUGUGAAGGAGACUAACUGCUGGUGACUGGGGACCAAUCCUCUGCAAAGCAGGUUGCUUGAUUGUUUCUGCUCAUCACCACCAGAUUUUUAAGAACAGCAAUGCACCCUCGGGCCAUGCAGGCAGCAGUGUCUGAAGGCUGCUUCCAAGCUGACUUUUGGCUAGCAGGAAUGAUUCUGAAAGUUGGAUGAGACUGAAUCGAGCAAGUGAGAAAUCCAGACAUUUCACCAGUGAGGAGACUAAAAGUGCACAGAUACCUUGAACAUUGAAGACCCAGCUGAAGAGAGCAUUAAAGCGUGGCCAAGGGCGGGCAAAGCUGGAGGAUAACACAACUGAGGCAAUGGAAGAAAACAGCCAUCACACUAAUACAACACUUGAGGACUUUUUUUUUUUUUUUAAAAUUGUAUGCUACCAAGGACAUUUCUGACAUUAAGCAAAUAGUAGGAGGAAAAUACAAAUACAAAUGUAUGAAUACUCCCAGAGGCCUUGGCCAUAUAGCCCAUGCACUCCUC